UCCACAUGCCAGGCAAUUCCCAGAGGCCUCUUUGUUGACACGGCCGCCACAAUGGGAACCAAAGGCCUCCCAUUAUAAGCCUAACCCUAGGCCCAGUCGCUGCACUACGGGGUGAUCCAGCGCAGUGUUUUGGCCAAAGCCCCCCCUGAAUAUCAGCCGGGAUGUAUAAGACAAACCCCCCCCACACACACACACGUCCGUCCAGCCACGCAGCUUUGUUCAGUCAUUCUGCUCCCACAAUGGGACAUCACACUUUGGAAGUAAUUUUGUAAAAAGGGGAAGCCAAUCAAAAAUAAAGGCACUUAUUGUUUCUCUUUUGACACACAUUGCAGAGCGGCCUGCCCCCUCCCUCGUCGGUUGCUUUCUCUGUACAGCCCUGGAGUUCAUUCAUGUCUAUUAUAGGGACAAAUUAAAUAAAACCCCAGCAUGGGAUGGUGGUGGUGGUGGUAGGGGGGGAGACAGAGAGUCCCUCCGGACUUUUAAUGGUGGUGUAGCAAAGAGUCAGCGAUGGGAGGACGACCGCGGAGCAAAAGCAUGAGCGGAGAAGGUUUGAGGAAGGCAGGAAGCGCUCAGAGAAGACAUGAAGUUGUGAAGAAGCAGGAGGAGAGGAGAUCAGGGGAAGAGAAAACCAGAACCCGUUGGGGGGGAUCCGGGUCGGGCUCCAUCGGACAGGUCCGGGAGUGAAGAGGGUGUUGGUGAGACGAUCCUCUGAGGCCUUUUAAUGGAGACAAAUCCAGAAACCAUCAGCAGUGGAGAUGGGAUUCUGACCGGAAAGGUUCUCAACAUAAAGAAAAAGUGAUAACACUGAACCAGACUCGUCCCUGCUGGAUCCAUGGAAACGUGGGAAAGAUGUGGAAACUUUUGAUGCAAGAUGGACACAAAUUGUGGAAGAAACGCCUGAUAAGGAGGAAAUCUGAACGACAAACAAGGAGGAGCUGGUUUAUUUUUCUCUGGAGACGAAGCACUCUGGAUCACUACACCCAACCGGGACCCACGGAGAGAGCAGCAUCAGGCCCCAGCGGCGCGCCAACACACUUAACCAUCCGCAUGAGAGGCUGGCAGCACCUGGCAGACGCCACUUUGGGAACGCCAACCCCCCCCCCUGGAGCAUGACAGCACACUUUAACGCUCCGUUUCUGUCUGUUCUGAGCUAGAAAACUUUGAAAAGAAAAAAAAAAACUCUCAAUGUAUUCAUCUUCUGAUCUCAUAACAGAUAUUAAUAUUAAACUGUAAGACAAAAUAAAAGUCUUAUACGGUGUA